GGUGACGUCACUUGUAAGACCGGUGUGUACACAAUGCACCAUUUUUUAGAGUCCAAAAUGUCUGCCCCCAUGAAGAAAACUGUCGAGCUGUUUUAUGAUGUAGUUUCGCCAUAUACAUGGUUUGCAUUUGAGGUUUUGUGCAGGUAUCAGAAUAGAUGGAACAUGAAUUUACGACUGAAGCCUGUCUUUCUUGGGGGAAUCAUGAAAGGGAUAACACACGGCCGCCAAGUGCUAAUCGAAAACAGUACACAAGGAAAGAGCUGAAACUCCUUGCCAAAUAUUUCCAGGUGCCUCUUGUUUUGCCUACGAAUGCAUCAGAGAUGAUGUUUGUGAAGGGGACACUGAAGACACAGCGCUUCAUCACGGCUGUGGACAUGAUGGACUCUACGAAGACUGAGGAGCUCUCACGACAGAUGUGGCACCGCAACUGGAGUCGGGAUGAAGACAUUACGGAAGCGGCAAGUUUGAAGGAGGCUGGUAAGCAUGCAGGGCUGUCAGACACCCAGAUCUCUCAUGGUCUGGAGGACAUGCACAGCAGCAAGGUCAAGGACAGAUUGAAACAGUUCACAGAUGAGGCCUUGAAUCAUGGGGCGUUUGGCUCUCCGACUAUAAUAGCCCACACCACUGACGGUCCAGUCAUGCUCUUCGGGUCUGAUCGGUUUCCUAUUUUAGCCCAAGUUCUUGGUGAGAAAUGGGAAGGACCCAUUCCAGGAGAGCGUCAACUGUGAUAGCAGCUUUGUGUUUGUUUGGACCUGUUCAUGUGUUAUAUUAGGCGUUAUUAGCAUUUAUUUAUGUUUUUAAUUUAAUGGAAAACGUGAUUUGAUUUAGACAAUUAGGCAUUUUACAUGCUUGGACCAAUCUUGAGGAAUAUAGCAAGCUCAAAUUGAAACCUAGCCUGGGAUUGUAUUUUGGGCUAUUGGGUCAAUUUCACUGUUACUUUUGGGCUAAUAUGGUCAAUGUCACUGUUACUUUUGGGCUAAUAUGGUCAAUGUCACUGUUACUUUUGGGCUAAUAUGGUCAAUGUCACUGUUACUUUUGGGCUUAUAUGGUCAAUUUCACUGUUACUUUUGGGCUAAUAUGGUCAAUGUCACUGUUACUUUUGGGCUAAUAUGGUCAAUGUGACUGUUACUUUUGGGCUAAUAUGGUCAAUUUCACUGUUACUUUUGGGCUAAUAUGGUCAUUGUCACUGUUACUUUUGGGCUAAUAUGGUCAAUUUCACUGUUACUUUUGGGCUAAUAUGGUCACUGUUACGUUUGGGCUAAUAUGGUUAAUUUCACUGUUACUUUUGGGCUAAUAUGGUCAAUGUCACUGUUACUUUUGGGCUAAUAUGGUCAAUUUCACUGUUACUUUUGGGCUAAUAUGGUCAUUGUCACUGUUACUUUUGGGCUAAUAUGGUCAAUUUCACUGUUAAUUUUGGGCUAAUAUGGUCACUGUUACUUUUGGGCUAAUAUGGUCAAUUUCACUGUUACUUUUGGGCUAAUAUGGUCAAUGUCACUGGUACUUUUGGGCUAAUAUGGUCAAGGUCACUGUUACUUUUGGGCUAAUAUGGUCAAUGUCACUGUUACUUUUGGGCUAAUAUGGUCAAGGUCACUGUUACUUUUGGGCUAAUAUGGUCACUGUUACUUUUGGGCUAAUAUGGUCAAUUUCACUGUUACUUUUGGGCUAAUAUGGUCAAUGUGACUGUUACUUUUUGGCUAAUAUGGUCAUUGUCACUGUUACUUUUGGGCUAAUAUGGUCAAUUUCACUUUUACUUUUGGGCUAAUAUGGUCAUUGUCACUGUUACUUUUGGGCUAAUAUGGUCAAUUUUACUGUUACUUUUGGGCUAAUAUGGUCACUGUUACUUUUGGGCUAAUAUGGUCAAUUUCACUGUUACUUUUGGGCUAAUAUGGUCAUUGCCACUGUUACUUAUGGGCUUGUUUGGUCAAGAUCACUGUUACUUAUGGGCUUGUUUGGUCAAGAUCACUGUUACUUUUGGGCUAGUUUGGUGAAGAUCA